rnacentral:rRNA from 1 species
AUUAACGCUAGCGGCAGGCAUAAUACAUGCAAGUUGAACGGCAGCACAGGUAGCAAUACUGGGUGGCGAGUGGCGCACGGGUGCGUAACACGUAUGCAACCUACCCUAUACAGGCGAAUAACCUUUAGAAAUGAGGGCUAAUACGCCGUAGUAUUACAGAUGGGCAUCUAUUUGUAAUUAAAGAUUUAUCGGUAUAGGAUGGGCAUGCGUCCCAUUAGUUAGUUGGUAAGGUAAUGGCCUACCAAGGCAACGAUGCAUAGCCG